rfam:Parcubacteria bacterium GW2011_GWF2_44_8 TW75_C0048, whole genome shotgun sequence.
GCGGCUAUAGUAUAACGGUUAGUGCAUCGGUUUGUGGUACCGAUAGUUCGGGUUCGAUUCCCGGUAGCCGCC